UCCAACAGGUUAUAUCCUCAACACGUCUCGAGACAGAGAGUGCCAUCAAUAGGUUAUAUCCUCAACACAUCUCUAGAGAGACAGCGCCAUCAACAGCAUAAAAUAUGAAAUAAAAACAAGAAGAGACAAGACAUCAUGCAUCGCAGACUAAUACUGCUGUCUGCCCUCUGUAUGG